GAAAAACAAAAACAAAAACAAAAACAAAAACAAAACAACAACCAAAAAAACCCCAACCAAACAAAAAUUGGUAUUUGGAAACGUCCCACACUCACUCGUAAGGAUCUGUCAUUGACUCUUGUGUAAUAGGGGCACGUUAUACCACUGGUCCUAGUUUCUUUGCUUGUACAAUGCAGUUGAUGGAUGAGGGGAUCCUUGCAAUUUCUUUUUCAUCUUCCAUCUUUAUAUCACAGAGCUGUCUGUCACCAUGUAGGAUGGAAAGAGUCUGUGGUGCUGUAAAAAUACAAUUAUUUCUAGAGGGAAAGAAAAAUUUUUGAACAGAACAUUGUUAAGUAAUACAAAGAGUGAAAAACCUAGUUGAAGCAGUUGAUAGAGAAGAGAUGAUAUUUGGAGUAAGACAGAGCUUGUACAGCAUCCCUGUAGCAUACAGCAUCCCUGUAGCACACAUCCCUGUAGCACACAGCAUCCCUGUAGCACACAGCAUCCCUGUAGCACACAACAUCCCUGUAGCACACAUCCCUGUAGCACACAGCAUCCCUGUAGCACACAGCAUCUUUCCCAAAUAUCAUUUAUGGUAGUUACUGCACAGACCUUUCU
rnacentral:lncRNA from 1 species